rnacentral:rRNA from 1 species
GACGAACGCUGGCGGCGUGCCUAAUACAUGCAAGUAGAACGCUGAAGAGAGGAGCUUGCUCUUCUUGGAUGAGUUGCGAACGGGUGAGUAACGCGUAGGUAACCUGCCUUGUAGCGGGGGAUAACUAUUGGAAACGAUAGCUAAUACCGCAUAACAAUGGAUGACACAUGUCAUUUAUUUGAAAGGGGCAAUUGCUCCACUACAAGAUGGACCUGCGUUGUAUUAGCUAGUAGGUGAGGUAAUGGCUCACCUAGGCGACGAUACAUAGCCGACCUGAGAGGGUGAUCGGCCAAACUGGGAAUGGGACAAGGCCCAGAAUACUACGGGAGGCAGCAGUAGGGAAUCUUCGGCAAUGGGGGCAACCCUGACCGAGCAACGCCGCGUGAGUGAAGAAGGUUUUCGGAUCGUAAAGCUCUGUUGUAAGUCAAGAACGGGUGUGAGAGUGGAAAGUUCACACUGUGACGGUAGCUUACCAGAAAGGGACGGCUAACUACGUG